GAAGACAUAAACAUUGAAUCGAUUGAAUUCAAUAACCAAUGGCGGAUGCUAGCAAAAAGAGGGAAAACAAACAACAUUUAGUGGGUGGUUUCAAGAAUGUUAAACAAUGUACCGCUUGUCCGUCGGAGAUUAGAGAAGAAGUAAGGGCUUAUAUGCAAAAUAAGAUCGCUAAUAAUCCCAAAUUUCAAGUGAGGCAGCCGGAGAAAAUAUAUUGAUAUUGAUGAUAUUGAUGAAAAGGAUGAUUAUGAGGAAAUGAUGCCUCCCUCUAAACUCAAAAGAUAUCUUCUAGUGGAGGUUCAUCAUCCACCGCACGGAAUGUGACGAAAGGACCUUUUGAACCUCUAUUUUUCACAGCAAUCAACACAAAAAGAAGGCUUUGAAAAAGGAUGAAUUGAUGAAACAAAGAAAAUUCUAAGAGAGCAUGCGGUAAGUGCUUUUGCAAUUUCGAUGUAUGAUGUGGGGCUCCCUUUUAAUUGCGUCAAUCACAAAUCAUUCGAUAAAUUUAUUGAGGCGGUUGGACAACAUGACACCGCAAUGAAGCCUCCUACAUUCCAUGAAGUUAGAGUCACUCACCUAAAAAAAGAGGUGGAGAAAGUAGAAAAAAUUGUUGAUGAGUAUAAAGUGCAAUGGACAAGUUUGGAUGUUCCAUUAUGAUGGACAAAUGGACGGCACGAAAUAUCAAAAUGAUCAUCAAUAUUUUGGUGAAUUCUCCAAUCGGUAGUGUAUUUCUUGGUUCUGUUGAUGCUAACUAUGAAUCUACCGAUUCCACCAAAAUGUACAAGUUAUUUGAAAGCACUAUCGAAAGAAUUGGACAGGAAAAUGUUGUACAAAUUGUCACCGAUAAUGCUAGUGAGAAUGUCAAAGCAAGAAGUAUGAUGAUGGGUGCGUACCCACACAUUUAUUGGACUCCAUGUGCCGCUUAUUGCAUCAACUUGAUAUUUGGUGACAUAUUCAAGUUUGUAAGAAGGCCAUCAGAAUCCAUUCUUACAUUAGUCAAAGGCCAUUGUUGUUAAACUUGAUGAGAAAAUUCACUAAAGAAAGAAAUUUGGUGGAACCGGCCAAGACAAGAUUUGCAACGACAUUCUUAACUUUGAGAGCUAUGUACAUACAAAGAAAAAACUUGAGAACUUUAGUCCUCUCAACCGAAUGGAAUUCAAGUAAAUUUGCAAGGAAACUUUGGGGAAAGAAGUUGCCAAUCUUAUUAUAUCUGCCCACUUUUGGAAUGAUGUUGUUCGAGCACUUACAAUUUGUGGCCCUUUGACAAAAGUGCUUCGUUUGGUGGAUGGGGAGAAAAAACCACCAAUAAGUUAUAUUUAUGAAGCAAUGGAUAGAGCCAAAGAAGCUAUUGCACAUGGUUUUCGUGGAGUUAAGAAGCAAUAUGAGAAAGUGUAUAAAAUUAUUGAUGCAAGGUGGUCAGAACAACUCCAUCGGCCUUUGCAUGCUGCAGGCCAUGUUUUGAACCCAUGAUUAUAUUAUAAAGCUCAAGAAGAGGGAACUUUAGCAAAGACUCUGUGGAUUGUGUAUAUUGCAUGUGUUGAGAAGUUUGUCACUGAUACAACAAUGCAAGAUGCACUAGUCGCUGAGCUUCCUAAGUACAAAAUGGCGAAUGGACUAUUUGGUUGUGGUCCGGCUAAAAGAGCUAGAGACACAAGGUCACUGGUUGAAUGGUGGUCACUAUUUGGUAGUGAAACACCAAACUUGCAAAAGUUUGCCGUGAAAGUAUUAAUCCUAACUUGUAGCUCAUCCGGAUGUGAGCGAAAUUGGAGUGUGUUUGAACACGCAAAUUCAUUCCAAAAAGAGGAAUACGCUUACACUAUCACGUCUCAAUGAUCUAUUGUACAUUAAUUACAAUAGAACAUUGAAACGUCGUUAUGAUGCUCGUGAUCUUAUUGAUCCAAUUCGCUUGGAUAACAUAGAUGAUUCAAAUAAAUGGUUAGUUGGAUGCCCCGAAGAUUAAGAUGAUGAACUAGUAUAUGAGGAUGAUGAUCUUACUUGGGGUAGUGUUGCUACAACAAUUGGAGCGGAUGAGAAUAUCUAUCAUCUUAGGAGACUUUCUUCAAGAUCAAGAGCACUUGACAAGGGCAAAGGAGUAGAAAGUACAUCUUCAAGUAGGACUCGGACACUAAUUGAUGAAGAAUAUGAGGAGGAAGAAGAUGAAGAGCAAUAUAAUGAUGUAGAGGAUUUUGAUCUUCAAGAGUUGGAUAAUUUUGAAGAAGAAUAGACUUUUAAAGUUUUAGUUUAUUGUAUUUUGAAUUAUUUGGUCUUUAAAGUUUUAGACUUUGUAGUAUCUACUAUUGGUUUUUGAAUUGAAU